CGGGAUAUAGCGCAGCUUGGUAGCGCACCUGCUUUGGGAGCAGGGGGUCGCAGGUUCAAAUCCUGCUAUCCCGACCA
rnacentral:tRNA from 1 species